rnacentral:rRNA from 1 species
GAUGAACGCUGGCGGCGUGCCUAAUACAUGCAAGUCGAGCGAACGGACGAGAAGCUUGCUUCUCUGAUGUUAGCGGCGGACGGGUGAGUAACACGUGGAUAACCUACCUAUAAGACUGGGAUAACUUCGGGAAACCGGAGCUAAUACCGGAUAAUAUUUUGAACCGCAUGGUUCAAAAGUGAAAGACGGUCUUGCUGUCACUUAUAGAUGGAUCCGCGCUGCAUUAGCUAGUUGGUAAGGUAACGGCUUACCAAGGCAACGAUGCAUAGCCGACCUGAGAGGGUGAUCGGCCACACUGGAACGGAGACACGGUCCAGACUCCUACGGGAGGCAGCAGUAGGGAAUCUUCCGCAAUGGGCGAAAGCCUGACGGAGCAACGCCGCGUGAGUGAUGAAGUUCUUCGGAUCGUAAAACUCUGUUAUUAGGGAAGAACAUAUGUGUAAGUAACUGUGCACAUCUUGACGGUACCUAAUCAGAAAGCCACGGCUAACUACGUG